AAAAAACCAAAAUCUCUGCAAUCGAUUUGUCGGAUUCCUCAACUAUCUAAUCAAGAUCCUAGCGAACCCCGAAGUUCGCCGCCGAGUGGGAGGAGAAAGCCGGGGAACUGUUUGCUAUCUACGGGCGCUACCUCCAUUGCAUGCGCUGCAUCGCCCCUUUCUUGAUCCUGAAUCCCUAUUAGGAUCUCCAACGGAGGAUUGGAUUCGUCCACCGGUUGUGUGAAUGAGGCGGUACGGAGAGGCCGAAGAAGGGGCUUUGGUGUUCUUGAUGAGCUCCAGUCAAGAGCUCAGUGCUCCUCUGAGGAGGGAAAGAAGGGGGAAGAAUGGCUGGGGAUCCGGAGCCGUCGGCGGACUAUGAGGACUCGGAGUUUGCUUUUGGUGUCGUGAUCUUUGGUCUGCCGGAUUGUGAGAUGCGGAAAGACGAUUAAGGAUUAUCGAAAGAUCCUUGACCUUUGAUCUGGUUGGCCCGUUGCUUAGGGUUAUCCAUUUUGAGGCAUCUGAAAAGCUUCUUGGUACACUUUCCCGGGAAUUAUAUAAUCGUACACUAUAUAUGAUGGAGCAUUUCUCAUUUUUUAAUGAAGAGUUGCUGGAUCACUUUUGCAUGGAGACAUCGACAACAUGCCUGAUAUCAUCACAAAAGGUUGAAUUUGAAAAGAUUGCCUAGAAAUUCUGUUACUUUUUUGACUCCAACUGGGAAAGAAGUGGAAGCACAAAAUGAUCUGCAACUCGCAAUUGUCCUUAACUGCCUCCAUUAGUGGUACUGCUGCUUCUGCUUCUACUCACACCAAUUUGUCAUGGAUGAGUUGUAUGGUGACUCAGGUGAGCAGUUCUGGUCAAGGAAGAAGAUUGCAAGUUUAGAACACUGUGCUGCAACACUCCUAAUGGGAUGCAGCAGUGGAUCUUUGAUUCUUAAAGGGUGAUAUACCCCACAAGGGCCUCAUCGAUCUUACAUAUUGGCCAGUUGCCCAGCCAUCGUUGCCUACCUCUGGUACGUCAUGUGAUGGACAUGAGUUGAUUCAGUUAAUUAUUACUUGAUGCUUGGUGAAAGGAUGACUCGCAGGGUUGCUCUAGUGAAGGGACAAAAUUUGCAUUGCUCAUGGUGAAGCCUCGAGAUUCCCAUUCUUGACUGGAGCUGCCCUGGUGUGUUUUGGUGUACGUACACAUUAUAAACUAAGGUGCUUUGAUAUCUGGAGUUUGUAUUUAUUUUGUUAUUCGACUUUGAAGUACAUGUCAUUGCUCGGUGAAGUUUGUGCAAUAUUUAUUUGAUUGUUUGUCAUAGCCAAUCAUGGGUGUUAUAAAAUGUUGAAAACUUAGUUCUAGUCAUUGCAUUUUGGUGCAGUGAUGAGAAUAUUUUGUACAUUGGUUUGAUGCAUUAUUUAUGCAUAUGCAUCAGUUUUCUAAACUUGCUGCAUGUUGUCAGCAUUA